UACGGAGGGUGCAAGCGUUAUCCGGAUUUACUGGGUUUAAAGGGUCCGUAGGUGGCCUGCUAAGUCAGUGGUGAAAUACUACAGCUUAACUGUGGAACUGCCAUAGAUACUGGUGGGCUUGAGUUCGGUUGAAGUGGGCGGAAUACAUCAUGUAGUGGUGAAAUACUUAGAUAUGAUGUAGAACACCGAUUGCGAAGGCAGCUCACUAAGCCGACACUGACACUGAGGGACGAAAGCAUGGGGAUCAAACAGG
rnacentral:rRNA from 1 species